AUGGUUGCACACGCCAGCAUCUACUGCAACGCCACCACCGCCACGACCACGACGGCGAGGAGCGGGCCGGCAUACUCCGCCGUGGCUCCUAAGUCGUCGCCGAGGAAUGCCAAGAGAAGGAGCGGCAAGAAGGCGACGAGGACAAAGGCCGAGCGACGGCGCUGCAUGGAGGCGAUCAGGAGGAAGAUGGAAGCGCUGAGGCGGCUCGUCCCUAGCGGCGGCGAUCACCGCAGCGACGAGAUGGCGGAGGACGACGGAGUGGACGAGCUCCUGUUCCGCGCCGCCGACUACAUCGUGCGGCUGCAGGUGCAGGUGAAGGCGAUGCAGCUCAUGGUCGACGUGCUGGAGCACACCAAAGACUCUUGA
rnacentral:rRNA from 1 species